GAGGGGUUAGCUCAACAGGAUAGAGCAAGGGCCUUCUAAGCCCUAGGUUGCAGGUUCAAGUCCUGCACCCCUCGCCA
rnacentral:tRNA from 1 species